CCAUAAUGCAAUGCUUCCCAACCUCGUGUGGGUACAUGAAGUGGAAUGUAGAAGAUGAUUAUAAAGACAUCAGUAAAACAAAAUAUCCACAUUCACAAAAUAUUCAAAUUUCAUAUUUUCUUGUUGUUUGUGUGUAAAUAUUUUUAUUUUUUAUUUUUGCAGUCCUCACAGUGAUUUAGAUAAAACAGUGGAGGUUCGAGAAUAACUCACAGACAUAAAGUUGUAAAUAAAACGCUCAGAUUCAGUUUUUUAAUUCAACACAUUCAGCAGUUUAAACAUUUCAAAGCUUAGUCCAGCGUUUGGGAGAGAUUCUUGCUGUGUGUUUAUCUGAGUUACAUAAGAAGACUGAUAUCUCUUUCUUGUUGUUGUAUUAACUAUGAAGCUACAGCUACCAGCUGGUUAGCUGAGUGCGGGAUAAAGACUGGAAACAGCUAGCAUGGGUCUAACAAAAGCAAUAAAAUGGACCUAAAAAACCUAAAGAUGCUUUCAGCUGCUCCCUUCUUUCCAAGGGGAGGCAUAGCAAAUGGUUCCAACCAUAAUCAGUUAUCAUAAUCAGAUAAUCAGUCUAUUCGUUUAUGUUUCCAGUGAUAUCUCAUGUGUUUGUGUGGCCUCUGAUACAGUAAAUCACAAUAAAGUUAAACUGAAAGAUACUUUUUUUCUUGUAGUUCUCAGGAGGAUAUACACUCAGCUUCGCUGAUGUAGUGUCCCUCCCCCAUUCAUCCAGGUUUGGUACUGGCACUGAGGGAGUACACUGGCUUGAGUCACUUGAGGCUGGCUUUGUGUCUCCUCCCAGUCUCAAAUUUUGAUUUUUUUUUUUUUUUUUUUGUAUGUAUGUAAAACAAAUGUGUUGACCACAAAAAAGCUCAGUUGAAUGUCUGAAUACAAAUCUAUAAACUGGGAGUCUUAACAUUUAGAUGUGCUGCGAAGGGAAACACAGAGGUUUAUGGUUGCAUGCCAUCACGUGGACAGAAUGAAAUCUUUCAAUUUUCCAGGUUUUUUUUGUUUUAUAUGAAAUCUUUAACACACAAAAUGCUACUUUCAGCUACUCCCUUAUUGAUCACGUUAACAGGAAGCAUGUAAACAAACCAAACUGCUCAGAGAAAAUGUAUCUAUAAUGUCAGUGUGCUUGAAUCAUCACAAAUUAAUACAAAUGUAGGAAAGCCUUUGCACUACACAAUAUCACUGUUGCUAUAAUGUGUUUUCACUUAUUCAAAGCAAAUUCAUGUAUGGAACCUCUGACAUUUAUAGUUUUAUAAACAUAGCCCACAUCCUGUACAGCUGCAGUUUAUGAUGUCCUUGCCUGUAGCUACAGGUAGCACCUCAGUCAGUUACACAGAGGCCUAUCAACAAAUGUUGGUAUUAAGUAUCCUGGACAUUAAAAAAAAUGUAGGCAUCAAGGUAUUUGUAAACCUUUAGAUUUUCUUUUCUCUAGGCUGUGGACAUUUUAAUGAUCAGUGGUCAUACAUAAAACGACUCAAAUCAGCUUUAAACCACUUUAUGGAUGUAUUUGAUCCAGACCUUUUGAUGAUGGUGUUUAAAGUGUGCACAUUACCACCACUGUGCAACAGAAAUGCUUUUUCUGCAGACGUCCAUAAGGGGGUGUCACAAUACGUAACAUCUGUUUCCAAAAUGUCCAAACUGCUUUACUACAACAUCUGUAUUCAUCAUGUGAAAAGGCUUGUUUUUUCUUUCAGAAACACAAUGACUGGAAAAGAGCAGCAGUAAAACUGUAAAUUCUUUUCUGUAUCUUGGUAAUGACUGAGGGUUAAUUUGGUCUGACAAUAAUUAGAUCCUCUAGGAGUGUAGUGGUUUACACAUUUUCCUAAUAAGUAAAGAAAGUGUCUCCUCCCAGUUUAAGACUGGGAAGCACAACAGGAAGGGCAUCAAGUGUUUAAAAAUGUCUCAGCCAAUCAAACUACCUGCUGUGGUGACUUCUUAUGAAUAAAAGAGCAGCUGAAAGUAGCUUUUUAAUAGAGCGGUGGAAGUUGUUUCAUUUUAUCCCAUUCAUAUGUGUGUGAAAUCAAAAGGAUGAAUUUUAAAAAGCACGCUUUAUGGUGUGCACAACAUUAUACUGUCUCAAGGAGGAAGCUUGGAAAACAUUUUAAAGCUGUAUGAAGCUAUUUCCAGUCCUCAUGUGAAGCUAACCUAACCCAGCUGCAGCCUUACACUAAACAGUCAUCAUAUGUAACUCGCAACAAGAAAGACCUCAUCUGAAGAUAACAAUUUACUCCUUUAAGGUCAUAGUGUGUGUUUGUGAGUAACCAGAUUAUCUUGUAUCUGCAGUGUCAAUGAGCAAACUCACUCUGCUUGUGACUAGAGGGGAAACUGCAGCAGAUACCCAAAACAGGGCUGCUGUAUAGAAAUGUUCCAGAAAUGUCACAAAGGGGAGUUGGUGUGGAUGAAACAAACAAAACUAUGCAAUAAACUGCACUAAAAUAAAGUUAUUCUCAAACACAGGACAGCAGUAUAAUCGUUUUUGCAACAGUGUUAUUCGUUUCUUCAGCGCGCUGCCUUUUAUGUGUUUAUUGUACAGUUUCGAUCAGUGUUAUUUUCAGUGGGAGGAGGCAUCCGUUGUUUACAGUAUCGUCUCUGCACUCUUUUCUGUCUCAGUUUAGAGACUUUGAGAAAAUGGCCAACCAGAAAAUGUUUACACUGAUUUUGUAGUAAUUCAAAGUUUUCUUAUUGAACUGUAUACAAAUGGAUCUGUCUUUUAUACCAAAAUAAAAAGAAUCGGUUUGUA
ensembl:lncRNA